rnacentral:sRNA from 1 species
AACAUGUUCAUAAACAUAAGAAUUGAUGCACUUUUUCCUCCCAGAGAUGCUGGUUAGCAGUGCUAGUGCAGAACUGACUUUACAAGAUAACAGUAAAAAUACUGCCCUCCAUUUGGCUUGUAGCAAGGGUCAUGAAACUAGUGCCUUGUUAAUACUGGAAAAGAUAACAGAUAGAAACCUCAUCAAUGCAACCAACGCAGCCUUGCAAACGUGAGUACUGUCAGUAUCUAGUAUAAACUUUGUGACCUAUAAUUAUAAAAAUGAUAAAUGGAUUUUUUAAACAUGUGACUAUUGGAAUAGGUUUCAUUAGUCAUAGAAGCAAUUUUAAUAGUUUUACAACUGUCAAAACUCAUUUCUAAAAUGAUCACAACUAAAAGCCAUAUUAUUUAAAAUGCUUUUGAACUGAAAUUUUAUUAUAACAUUGACAAUAAUGUAUUUUUUUCCUUAAUCCACCUACCUAAUUUUCUGAAGUAGUACUAUUUUGUGUAUUCUGUGGAAAUCAACUGUAAUAAUAUGUUACUUGAAACUAACAAUAAAUGAGGUAAGAAGCUUUAUGUGUGUCUGUAAGCCAAUAAGGUUUCU